GUAGAAGAACAAUGGAAGGCCCUGAAAAUAGUGGAUUUGGCCCUUCAAUGUGCUCAACUCGAGCCAAGCACCAGGCCUGCAAUGAGGGAUGUAGUAAGGUCUCUUGUCGAAUUAAAUAAAAGAUGUAAAGAGAAUAAAUGAAACUUUUAGCAGUGAAACCCAUGAUCAACUUUACCAAAUUCAAACAUCUUUUUUUUUUUUUUUUUGCUUACAUAAAAAAUUGGACUAAGAAAAUCAUGAUGUUUUAGCUUAACAUAAUCGAGAAAAUCAACUCUUAGUCCGUUUUUAUUUGCCGUGGUGAUGGAUGUGUUGACGUGGAGUAUACAAGGCGAGGUGCCUUGGUGUAUGCUUUUUGCGGAUAAUGUAGUUUUGAUUAAUGAGUCGCGGCAAGGUGUUAAUGAUAAGCUGGAGGUUUGGAGACAAACUUUAGAGUCUAAAGGUUUCAGAUUGAGCAGGACCAAUACGGAGUAUUUGGAGUGCAAGUUUAGUGACUCGAGGCAAGAGGAUGAGGUAGUAGUGAAGUUGGACUCAGGAUAGUUUUAAGUAUCUUGGGUCUACGAUUCAGGGGAACGGAGAGAUAGAUGAGGAUGUCUCUCACCGUAUUGGGGCAGGUUGGAUGAAAUGGAGGCUCGCUUCGGGAAUUUUAUGCGAUAAGAAGGUGCCUCCCAAGCUUAAAGGCAAAUUCUAUAGAGUUGCAGUCCGGCUGGCUAUGUUGUAUGGAGCGGAGUGUUGGCCGGUUAAGAAUUCUCAUAUACAAAAGUUGAAGGUGGCGGAAAUGAGGAUGUUGCGUUGGAUGUGUGGAUUUACAAGGGCUGACGGGGUUAGGAAUGAGAUUAUUCGGGGGGAGGUGGGAGUGGUGUCGGUGGAGGAUAAAAUGCGGGAAGUGAGGUUGAGAUGGUUUGGUCAUGUGAUGAGGAGAGGCACGGAUGCUCCAGUUCAUAGGUGUGAGAGGUUGGCCUUGGAUGGUUUCAAACGGGAUUGGGAUAGACCGAGGAAAUACAGGAGAGAAGUGAUUAGACGUGACAUGGAGCAGUUACAGCUCACUGAGGAGUUACAGCUCACCGAGGACAUGACCCUGAAUAGGAAAGUUUGGAGGAAAAAUACUAGGAUAGAGGGAUAAGGUGGGUGGAUGUAUCGUAGUCAGUAGUUAGGAGGACUUUGGUGUCCUUUGUUUGGCAAUGUGCAAUAUUUUUGUGGAUGUUGUACCUAUGUUAGUUUUAUCAUGUUUCAUGCUUUUGAUGUUUUUGUAUAUUGUCGUUUGUCUUGAGCCGGGGGUCUAUCGAAAACAGCCUCUCUACUUCUUUAGAGGUAGUGGUAUGGACUGCGUACAUUCUACCCUCCCCAGACCCCACUAGGCGGGAAUAUACCGGGUUUGUUGUUGUUGUUGUAGCGUAACAACAUAGACUAAGAAAAGCAUGAUCUUUCAAAUCAAUUUUCAGUAAAAGCGAUUUUCACCUUCUCGUCAUAGCUCUUUUCGUCAUGCAUCACUGUCCGUAAUCAGUUUUUGCUUGUUACGUUCUCUAGCUUAUCCAAAAUAUUGUUGCUUUUUAACAAUGAAAUUACAGAAAUACUGAGAGUGAAACACUGAAAUGCAGCCAAAGGGAAUUGUUUUAUUUAGCCUGGUUGAGCUGUGCAUUUAUAUUGAACUUGCAAUUAGGGAUAGUUAGCUAGCAAACUAGUAAUUAGGAUUUAUUAAAAAAAAAACUAAGAUAAGCAAAAAGAAAAAGAUAAGCUUUUGUUGAAUUUGGUUUUAUUAAUGAUGUUCCUGUAAAAGAAUGCAAGAAUAGAAGACCUCCACCUUACUGGUCUUUCUUUGUGUUCCAUACUUCCAGUGACUGAGUUACUUCCAGAAAAUAAAAUAAAAAGAUAAGCUUUUGUUGAAUUUGGUCGUACUAAUGAUGGUUCCUGCAAAAGAAUGCAAGAUCAAAAGACCUCCACCUUAUCGAUCUUUCUUUGUGUUCCAAACUUCCAGUGACUGAACUACUUCAGAAAAUAAAAUAAAGAUGAAUGGAAAUGGCUUGUGGAUAAUCAUUGUAUUGCAUCCAAAUACAGAUAUUCAAAUAAGGUAGAUAUACCCCAGUAUGGGUUAGCAACAGGACUUCUAAAAAGACACAUAGGAAUACCAGAUCACGAGAGUACAGUAAUAGUCCUUGGAGAAUUAAUGAGAAUCCAGUAGAAAGGAAAUACCUACAAUGAUCAUAGUAUUACUCUAGAAGUUUUUGUUAUUCCAUUUCUGUUACUAUUUAAUGUUUCUUGGAAUUCGAUUAUCAUAUUACUUUGUUGUAGUGACUGUUCUUUUUAUGCUUUAUCAUGCGUUCUUUCACAUUUUGUCUUGGCUUCUCCACUCCCGUCAUUUUCGUUUUUCGAACUUCUUUGUAGUGCUUUUACUUGAGCCGAGGUUCUAUCAGAAACAAUCUCUUUACCUCCCAAGUUAAGGUCUGCCUGCGUACACACUACCCUCCCAGACUUGCUUGUAGGAUAACACUAGGUAUGUUAUUGUUGUUGCACUAGUAGUAGAAAGGAAAUAUGCAAGAAGUGCAAGCAUAAACUGGCAGGGCUAUUCUGCAAGUGAGUAACAGAUGAAAGACACACCUCAGUUACGAGAACUGCAACAACAGAGCACAGUACAAUGUGUACCUAAACAAUCAUCAGAGUAGGAGAAGCCCAACUUAAACGUUCCAGAUUCCUCAUCAUAUUUUUCAUCUAGUUGACUUGGAUGUGUAUUACAAGCCAAUCCUCACAAGAUUUUGAGAACUUUCAUGUUAAGUAUUCACCAGAAUUUGCAUCGGACAUGGAAACACCACAUAUACUGACAAAUCUCAGAAUUAUAGUAAUAGAGCUUCCCAUCCGAGUCUGAUCCAAGCUUCUGGUCUUAGCAAGUGUAGCAACCUCACAUAUGCAGACAAGUCUUGGAUUUCUAGACUCUAGUAAUAGAGUUCCGUUCAAAGUCAGAUCCACUAAAUUCUCAAGCUUCUGCUCUUAGCAAGUGCACUUUUGAGCUAAAAGAUUUGAGACAAACCCCGGGAAGAUAUAUGAAUCAGUUUCGCCUAGACAUUCAACAAACAUAAUAUCGACAUAGAGAUAAAAGCCUCCACACUCCAUCGACAUCUAAUUUCGAAAUUCUUAGAUAAAAUUAGGUCGCCAGAUUAGUUUGAGUGUGAAGUUGGCUUUUCAGGACAACUUGAGAGUGCAUUUGAUGUCUUUUCUCAAACUAAUAUUGCCCUCAAAGGGUACAAAAACAGAGUAAACAAAAAUAAAGUAAAUUAUGAACGGUUAUCAUACCUGUUAAUUGAUGGAGUCAUCCGAAUCAAAAUCAACUCGAAUACAAUCCAUAGCAAAUAGCAAUUAUUAAUCAUGAAAUUUAGAUAUAAACGGAUUCAAUUAAAACAUUUAAUGAUAAUCACAAGGACCAAUAUUAAGUUCUAAAAGUGUUCUGAAUUGUAAGAAAUAUAUAAAUCAACGGAGAAAAAAAAAAAGAAAUAUACAAAUCUGUUGCUACAAUGCAAGUAAAUGGUGCAGGAGAAUAAAUCUUAGUUCACAAGAGUUAUCCAACACACCUUACUCGAUUAACCUGAAAAUGAUUGUAAUGCAUUUAACAAAUUUUAUUGGAUUGAAGAAUUUUACUAAUCUAAUUGGCUAAUUACUUGAAUGUUCAUCUCCUUGGUGAGUGCUCAGUUCUCCACUUCGAAAUUUUCUUCCCAUUUUCCUUAUUGCAAUGAAAUAUGAAUUUGCAAAUUAUUAGCAGCAACUUACUUUAGUACAUUUAAUGUGAAUACGAGGGUGUAUUUGAAAAAGUCUUUCCAUCUCACGAUUAGGGUUUAUUUGAAAA
rnacentral:lncRNA from 1 species